GACCAUACCGAGGGAUAGAUACUUGGAAAACCUAUAGAAAGGUGCGAGACUAUAUCCACAUCGAUUCAAAUCAUUAAGUGUUAGUUUUGAUGACAAAACUCUUACCUGGCGUGUCGAAAAGGUGAGGGUGCUCCUCCCGCAUCUUCUCCUCUAGUUCCCAUGUAGCUUCGCGCUCGGAAUGAUUCCUACACGACGUAUGGAAUUGUGCGCGUCCUGAGUACCUGAUCCUUUCUGUCAACAAUCUUC
rnacentral:lncRNA from 1 species